CAUACAUGUCAUUUUGUGUAAAUUUAUUAAAUGGCGAAGUUAUAUAAAAAAAAGUUUAAAAAAAGAAAAAAAAGAAAGACCCUGGCAAUAGCUGGUCACGUGGCUCCCAGAUUCUGGGUGCUAAAUUGAAAUUGUAAUUGGGGAGAGGUGGUCGAGGAGUGCGCUUGUUUUGCUUGGAAAAUUUAUACAACUUGUGUGUUAUAGUUUCGGGCGAUAAAAUUUAAAUUUGCAACACGAAAUCCUGAAAUAUUUUGUAUUUUGGGUUACAUUAGUCAAGCGAGAAAUUGGAUGAGAUCGAUUUCAGUGGACGUCAUACCCUGGUUCCAGAGGCUCUUUGCAAGGCGAAAAUAACGA